rnacentral:rRNA from 1 species
UACGAAGGGGGCUAGCGUUGCUCGGAAUCACUGGGCGUAAAGGGCUCGUAGGCGGUCUGUCGCGUCGGGAGUGAAAACUCAGGGCUUAACCCUGAGCCUGCUUCCGAUACGGGCAGACUAGAGGUAUGCAGGGGAGAACGGAAUUCCUGGUGUAGCGGUGAAAUGCGCAGAUAUCAGGAGGAACACCGGUGGCGAAGGCGGUUCUCUGGGCAUUACCUGACGCUGAGGAGCGAAAGUGUGGGGAGCGAACAGG